rnacentral:lncRNA from 1 species
UUUUCAUUUGUUUACCUUUAUUCUUCCUUUACGUUAUCUAACACCUUCUUGUUUCUUGUGUUAGUAGGAUUUAAACGUGUGCACAACUUCUUCCUCGGUGCAACACGAAUCAAUUGGUGUCUCGUCAGUUUUUGGCAUCCUAAUGCAAAUUAGGAUUCUUUGGUAGUUUGGUUCACACUCUCUAAUUGGUUGAUAUAAACUCUGAUAAAGAACUCACAAGAUUGAAUUCGACCUCAUUGAGAAUUUGAUUUUUUCUUUUUGAGUGAUUAACGGUGAGGUUUGAUAACUUUUAUUUUUGAGUGUUGAGUGUUUUGCAGGUUUUAAAAAAAAAUGUCUACAGGUGAUAAUA